AUUGAACGCUGGCGGCAGGCCUAACACGUGCAAGUCGAGCGGAUGAAGGGAGCUUGCUCCUGGAUUCAGCGGCGGACGGGUGAGUAAUGCCUAGGAAUCUGCCUGGUAGUGGGGGAUAACGUCCGGAAACGGGCGCUAAUACCGCAUACGUCCUGAGGGAGAAAGUGGGGGAUCUUCGGACCUCACGCUAUCAGAUGAGCCUAGGUCGGAUUAGCUAGUUGGUGGGGUAAAGGCCUACCAAGGCGGCGAUCCGUAACUGGUCUGAGAGGAUGAUCAGUCACACUGGAACUGAGACACGGUCCAGACUCCUACGGGAGGCAGCAGUGGGGAAUAUUGGACAAUGGGCGAAAGCCUGAUCCAGCCAUGCCGCGUGUGUGAAGAAGGUCUUCGGAUUGUAAAGCACUUUAAGUUGGGAGGAAGGGCAGUAAGUUAAUACCUUGCUGUUUUGACGUUACCAACAGAAUAAGCACCGGCUAACUUCGUG
rnacentral:rRNA from 1 species